rnacentral:rRNA from 1 species
GGGGGUACACGAGUGGCGAACGGGUGAGUAACACGUGAGUAACCUGCCCUUGACUCUGGGAUAACAUCUGGAAACAGGUGCUAAUACCGGAUAUGAACCCUUUACUCAUGUAUUGGGUUGGAAAGCUCCGGCGGUCAUGGAUGGACUCGCGGCCUAUCAGCUUGUUGGUGAGGUAAUGGCUCACCAAGGCUUCGACGGGUAGCCGGCCUGAGAGGGCGACCGGCCACAUUGGGACUGAGAUACGGCCCAAACUCCUACGGGAGGCAGCAGUGGGGAAUAUUGCACAAUGGGCGGAAGCCUGAUGCAGCAACGCCGCGUGCGGGAUGACGGCCUUCGGGUUGUAAACCGCUUUCAGCAGGGACGAAGCUAACGUGACGGUACCUGCAGAAGAAGCACCGGCUAACUACGUGCCAGCAGCCGCGGUGAUACGUAGGGUGCGAGCGUUGUCCGGAUUUAUUGGGCGUAAAGAGCUUGUAGGCGGUUUGUCACGUCGGGAGUGAAAACUCAGUUGCUUAACACUGAGCCUGCUUCCGAUACGGGCAGACUUGAGGAAGGUAGGGGAGAUCGGAAUUCCUGGUGGAGCGGUGGAAUGCGCAGAUAUCAGGAGGAACACCGGUGGCGAAGGCGGAUCUCUGGACCUUUCCUGACGCUGAGAAGCGAAAGCGU